AAAAUAGACUUGGCAUCCUAAAGAGUGUACGAGAUGACAGCAGUAGUGUACAAGCUGGGGAAGGAAUAGAGGUGUGGGAGGAGGUAGUUACUCAGUUCUUUUAGGCAGUACAUUGUGUGGCCUGCAUAUUCCCCCCUUUGUCACUGAUCUCACUCAUUGAUUCCAUUUUUAUGAAUUGUUAAUCAGCGACUCUGUUUAAAAUUGAGUGUUGUCUUGAGUUGGGCUGAUUACAUAUUGCCUUAUUUGUUCAUAAGCAUCUUUUAGAAUCU
rnacentral:lncRNA from 1 species